rnacentral:rRNA from 1 species
UACAGAGGGUGCAAGCGUUGUUCGGAAUUAUUGGGCGUAAAGCGCGUGUAGGCGGCCUAUCAAGUCAGAUGUGAAAGCCCUCGGCUUAACCGAGGAAGUGCGUCUGAAACUGAUGGGCUUGAGUGCCGGAGAGGAUGGCGGAAUUCCCGGUGUAGAGGUGAAAUUCGUAGAUAUCGGGAGGAACACCAGUGGCGAAGGCGGCCACCUGGGACGGAUACUGACGCAUGAGACGGCGAAA